rnacentral:rRNA from 1 species
CCUACGGUGGACAGCAGUGGGGAAUAUUGCACAAUGGGGGAAACCCUGAUGCAGCAAAGCCGCGUGAGUGAAGAAGUCAUUCGUGAUGUAAAGCUCUAUCAGCAGGGAAGAAAAUGACGGUACCUGACUAAGAAGCCCCGGCUAAAUACGUGCCAGCAGCCGCGGUAAUACGUAGGGGGCAAGCGUUAUCCGGAUUUACUGGGUGUAAAGGGAGCGUAGACGGCGAGGCAGAUCUGAAGUGAAAUGCCAGUGCUCAACACUGGACCUGCUUUGGAAACUGUGUGGCUAGAGUGCAGGAGAGGUAAGGGGAAUUCCUAGUGUAGCUGUGAAAUGCGUAGAUAUUACGCGGACCACCAGUUGCGAAGGCGGCUUACUGGACUUUAACUGACGUUGAGGCUCGAAGGCGUGGGGAGCAAACAGGAUUAGAUACCCUGGUAGUC